rnacentral:misc_RNA from 1 species
GUGAAUCAUCGAAUCUUUGAACGCAAAUUGCACUCUCUUCAGAGAGUAUGCCUGUUUGAGGGUCAGCCUAAAAAAAAUCGACAUAGUUGCUGUUACGCGGUUAACUUCGGCGGGAAUUGGGUCAUUUUUAACCUUUGGGUUUUAGCGGCUUAAAAAUUUUUUUACGAUUCCAAGAAAGUUUCUAAGAUUUUUUCUUUUUAUUCGUUUAAGGGAUUGGUUUUU